UACGGAGGGUGCAAGCGUUGCUCGGAAUUAUUGGGCGUAAAGAGCGUGUAGGCGGCCAGGUAGGUCUGCUGUGAAAACUCGAGGCUCAACCUCGAGACGUCGGCGGAAACCAUCUGGCUAGAGUCCGGAAGAGGAGAGUGGAAUUCCUGGUGUAGCGGUGAAAUGCGCAGAUAUCAGGAAGAACACCCGUGGCGAAGGCGGCUCUCUGGGACGGUACUGACGCUGAGACGCGAAAGCGUGGGGAGCGAACAGG
rnacentral:rRNA from 1 species